rnacentral:rRNA from 1 species
UACGGAGGGGGCUAGCGUUGUUCGGAAUUACUGGGCGUAAAGCGCACGUAGGCGGCUUUGUAAGUCAGAGGUGAAAUCCCGGGGCUCAACCCCGGAACUGCCUUUGAGACUGCAUCGCUUGAAUCCAGGAGAGGUGAGUGGAAUUCCGAGUGUAGAGGUGAAAUUCGUAGAUAUUCGGAAGAACACCAGUGGCGAAGGCGGCUCACUGGCCCGGUACUGACGCUGAGGCACGAAAGCGUGGGGAGCAAACAGG